rnacentral:tRNA from 1 species
GCCUGGGUGGCUCAGUUGGUAAAGCAUCUGACUUUGGUUCAGGUCAUGAUCUCAUGGUUUGUGAGUUUGAGCCCCACAUCAGGCU